UAAUAAUAAUAAUAAUAAUAAAAUAACUUUAUUAACACACAUUACAAAAAACAAUACAACAGAUUUUAAAAAGAAAAAGACGAAUGCAUGUUAAUAGGGCGCCCGCUCAGUUUUAGUUGGGACACCUUAUAGGAUGUCCCGACACUGAUUUUCAGCGGGAAGCCCUAUUAGCUACUGCGCAUCCCUACCGGCGAGCCUGGUGUAAAAGGAAAAUAAUGUUAAUAUAAAAUUAAAUUUAAAACUAAAACAGCACAGAAGGGAUACGCAGCAACUAUUUGUCGCGGGGUACGUGGACACGAACAUAAACCAAUACUAAUAAUAAUAUAACACAGACACAAUUCGAUAAUUAUCAGGAAGAAAUUAUUUAAAACAUUUAACAUAAAAUUUACAAUAAAAAGUUAUUUCCAUUACAUACUUACAAACACGGACAAUACAAUAAAAUUGUACCAAUCCUAUGUCUUCUCCACUUCACGCGAGGCAACUCAAGGAACAAAGAUAGUGAGGUGAAAAAAACAAAGAGAAGAAAAAAAAAAAAAAAUGAACGAAAAAGAACUGACAUGUCAAACGUGACAGUGUGUCGUUCAAAUAACGAUUCGACAAAAUAAAAAUAAAAAUAAAAAUUAACCUACCACCGACAGAGUGAAAAAUCACUUUCUUUGGCUACCACGGAUUUAAUUGUGAAUUGUGAUUGCUACCUUCCAAGCAGUAAAUGGAAAAAAUCAAGAUUGUCCACGUAGUAAUGAUGUGGCAAGCAUGUGUCCUGAGGAUUACACCCAAAGUAUUACUUUCCUCUAUGGGAUUGACGUUCUCACACUAAUAACGAUAACAACCCUUUAAUGCGUGGCUGGGAACUAUAUACGACUGCGUCAAUCAAAGAUUAUAAUAUUAUAUUUGGAUUGCGCACUAACUAUAACAAGAUGAGGCCGCCAGUGACGCUCAACGACCGUUCGCGCAGGAAUUAAUGCGCGCGACCGGGGUGAUGGCGGCCCAUCUAAUCGGCCACAGAGACACCCACCCAACGUGAGUGCGAUCCUCACUGGUGCCGGGACGACGCAGACAGGCCAGCUGCUGCCAAUACACGCGACGCGCAUGCACUCAAGGGCGCGCAACGGCGGUGGCAGGUCGUUCCAGCAACGCGAGGCCGCAUACCUGAAGGAUCCACGGAAUGCCAUGGUGCGAUGUUUCGGAGUUGCAAAUAUGCGGGUGCAAGAUCUUUUUUGAUAUCUGCUAUGACUCUGAGCCCAUUCCAGCUUAUUAAGCAGGUAACUAGGUCUCAUUUUAGUAAUGACUCCGAACAACAUUACUGCAAGGUGUAGCUUUCUACGUGCCUCCAUUUUGAGCAUGUUAGCGGCAUUGAGAAAAGGGGUUAUAUGAGAUCGGGGGGGAACCAUGAAGCAAAAACGGGCACAUGCAUUUUGCACCCUCUGUAUAAGGCGAGCAGAUCUGGACAGCAGGCAUGACCCAUACACUGUGUCGCAGUAGUUUAGUCUACUUAAGACCAGCGAUUCACACAAUGUUACUCUAAUUCUUUCACUGAGGUAUGGUCUCAGCCUGUAAAGAAGCUUUAGUCGGUAAAAGCAAUUACGGGCGCACUCAGCAACAUGAUUUUCGAACCUCAAUUGACUGUCAAAGGUUAAUCCAAGGUUUUUUGCUCUAUCAACCAACUCCAACGGCUCACCAUUUAUCAUUACUCUGCUACUACCAUUAACAUUAAUUUGGAUUUUUAACUUCUCAAUAUUUUUAGUGGUUCCAAUUAACAUUAAUUUAGAUUUUUGGGGAUUGAGAACAAGGCAAUUUGAGUUACACCA